GACGAACGCUGGCGGCGUGCUUAACACAUGCAAGUCGAACGGAAAGGCCCUGCUUUUGUGGGGUGCUCGAGUGGCGAACGGGUGAGUAACACGUGAGUAACCUGCCCUUGACUUUGGGAUAACUUCAGGAAACUGGGGCUAAUACCGGAUAGGAGCUCCUGCUGCAUGGUGGGGGUUGGAAAGUUUCGGCGGUUGGGGAUGGACUCGCGGCUUAUCAGCUUGUUGGUGGGGUAGUGGCUUACCAAGGGUUUGACGGGUAGCCGGCCUGAGAGGGUGACCGGCCACAUUGGGACUGAGAUACGGACCAGAAUCCUACGGGACGCAGCAGUGGAGAAUAUUGCACAAUGGGCGGACGCCUGAUGCAGCAACGCCGCGUGCGGGAUGACGGCCUUCGGGUUGUAAACAGCUUUCGCAUGUGACGAAGCGUGAGUGACGGUAAUGGGUAAAGAAGCACCGGCUAACUACGUG
rnacentral:rRNA from 1 species